GUGCUGGCUUAAGCAGCACAUAUACUGAAAGUGGAACAACACAGAGAAGAUUAGCAUGGCCCCGUGCAAGGAUGACCUACAAAUUCGUGAAGUGUUCCAUGUUGUA